GCUCUACAUCUUAGAGCUCAGUGGCUUAGAAUAUAACUUCAGUGAUAAGGAUUAUCUGGGAUUCUGUUAGUUUCACAAGGGAAGAGCCAGUCUUUUUCCAGUGCCAUGGAGGAAUAAUUGAUAAAUAAAAAGGAGAAAAAGUCCUGCAGCUAUCCCCUCUGAAGGUCAGUCCUGACUGCACAGCUGGACUCUCUGCAUCUAUCUCACAGAGAUGAAAAGGGACCUCUAAAGAAACCCGAAAGCGGCACUCAGAUGGCGAGCCACCCUCCUAAACAACAUGAAAUGAAUGACAUCGAGAAAAGGAACUUGAGCAGUCCCCUGCUCCCCUCUCUGAUGGGAUUCACAUUCAAGCUGUGGUGUUUAAGGAGAAAUGCCAACUCCCCGGCAGCAUAAACCAGUUAUGUUUCCACA